GAAGUCAUAGCUCAGAGGUAGAGCAUCUGCUUUGCAAGCAGAAGAUUCCACAUUCGAUCCUCAGCAUCUUCA